UCCUGCGCUGCGCCCUCCCGGCGUGGGGCGUCGCGGUACCCGCCUCCGCGCUGCGCACAGACACCCCCACACCCUCGCCGCACCUACUCCGGCGCUCCGGCGCGGGCGGGAGGCGGAGCGGAGGGGUCGGGGGCGGUGUCGCCUCAGCCCAGGAGCUGCAGGUGGCGGGGGCGGCGGCGCUGGAGGUCCCCGAGAUAUGGCCGCCUCGGUGUUCUGCUGCCUGCGGUGCUGCAGAGAUGGCGGGACGGGCCACAUCCCUCUGAAGGAGAUGCCGGCCGUGCAGCUGGACACGCAGCACAUGGGAACUGACGUCGUCAUUGUAAAAAAUGGAAGACGAAUAUGUGGAACAGGAGGUUGUUUAGCCAGUGCACCUUUACAUCAAAACAAAAGCUACUUCGAAUUCAAAAUCCAGUCCACAGGAAUCUGGGGUAUUGGCGUUGCAACUCAGAAAGUUAACUUGAAUCAGAUCCCCCUUGGCCGAGAUGUACACAGUCUGGUGAUGAGAAAUGAUGGAGCCCUAUACCACAACAACGAGGAGAAAAACAGGCUGCCGGCAAACAGCCUUCCACAGGAGGGAGACGUGGUGGGUAUUACAUAUGACCAUGUAGAAUUAAAUGUGUAUUUGAAUGGAAAAAACAUGCAUUGUCCAGCAUCAGGUAUACGAGGGACAGUGUAUCCAGUUGUUUAUGUUGAUGACAGUGCAAUUUUGGAUUGCCAGUUCAGUGAAUUUUAUCAUACUCCUCCACCUGGUUUUGAAAAGAUAUUAUUUGAACAGCAGAUCUUCUGAAUGUAUUUGGUUUUGAAACUUGUAUUUCUAAACUGUUGAAAGUGUUUACCAUUUAAUAAAGCUUUACCUGACGUAUAGAUGAAAAUAUAUUCUUAAAAAUAUGCUUGUUAGUAUUGUCUAAGGAACCAGUAAAUACACUAUACCACCCUGAAGUUGUGAUUUAAAAUACUUAGGUUUUGUGAUAUGAAAUCAGCAUUUGGGGCGGUUUAUUUUAACUCUUAUUUAAAUAAAUAUAACUGUGGGUUUAAUUAACAGUAUUAAAUGGAAAUAUGUAUAUAGAUAUUUAAAAGGGAGUCUUUCUUAAUGUAAAAUAUUUGUAUUGAUAGAGACAGAGUCGGGUGGGUUUUUUGGUCAUUCUGAUGUUUAGACCUCAUUAACUGUUUUAAGUCUGCAGUCCAAUAAUUUUGUGUCUCAGUGUCUUUUUUUAUAUAGUGUAUAACAAAGUAACAAAUUUAUAUUAUUGGCAACUUCAGUUUUGGCAAUUUAGUUACCGUAAAAUGUACCACUUUAAAAAUGUUAACUGCUUGUUUUGUUUGUAUGCUGUUGUUUUUAAUUUUCUUUGUGAAAGAAGAUAAAUGUGAUAGUAAUUAUUGGAGCAUUUUGUUGAAGACCAUCAUGCUGUGUUACUUCAAUACCUGUGAAAAUUACCUAUAACCUCAGUCUUACCUUGAGAAAAACCAUCAGAUUCAUAACGGGGCAUCCUACAAAAUACUUGAGCAGUACUCUGAAGUGUCAUGGUCAUCAAAAACAAGGAAAAUCAGAGACACUCACACCCCAGGGAGCCUAAGGAAACAUAAGUCAAUGUAAUGUGCGAACCAGGAACAGAAAAGGAUAUUAGGUAAAAACUAAGGAAAUCUAAAUACAUCAUGGACUUUAGUUAAUAAUGUAUCAAUAUGUUUAUUACUUGUAAUAGAUGAACCAUAAAAAUGUAAGAUGUUAUUAAUGGGGGAAAUUGGAAGAGGGAACAUAUGGGAACUCUGUUCUACUGUCUCAAUUUUUCUGUGAAUCUAAAUUGUUCCAAAAAAUAAAGUCGCUUUAAAAACCUA